ACUGUAAAGGUUAAAAUAAAGAGUAAGAAUCAGGGGUGAGUACCUUUUGUAUCAGGGAUACUCAAAAUUAAUAUAAGGCAUAUUAAAUCGAUUGACUUAUAAUCUAAAGAUGGUUUAAAAGUUGAAUUUUUUGAGUUAAUUAUUAAGUGGUGAAAGGUUUUCGGUAAGUGUGGUAUCUAGUUGUGAGUGGUUUAGGGGUUAAGCCUUAAAGUAGUUCUAGUGAACAUAAAAUUAAGAAAUUUAGGCUUUAAAUUAGCUUUAUUUUUAGAUUGUCUUAAAUAAUUUUAUUAAAAGUAAUUAAAGUGCUAAGAAUUAUACACAUAUUUUACUGAAUUUUUAGUAAAAGGAAUAAUGAUUAUAUUGAAUAAUUUAAGGAGUGAAAAAAUAACUCAGGUUUUGUUAAAAUGUUUAACAAAAACAUUUCUUUGUUAUUAAAAAGUAUGACCUGCUCAGUGGGUUUUAACAGCUGCAGUAUUUUGACUGUGCUAAGGUAGCAUAAUCAUUUGUUUUUUAAUUGAGAACUAGCAUGAACGGUUUAAUUGAUUAAAUUUAUUUGUGAAACUAUAUAAUAAAUUUAAGUUAAAGUAAGAAUUCUUUAAUUUACUAAGGGACGAUAAGACCCUAAAAGCUUUAUCAAAGGUAAAUUUUUAGUGUUAAAAAUAGAUUGAUUUUACUGGGGCGGUAAACUUACGUGAACUAAGAUUUUAGAGCGCGGUCCUUUAUAUAAAGAAAUAACGGGUUAGUUACUUUAGGGUUAACAGUGCAAUAAGUUCGGAGAGACCUUAUCGAUGAGUUUGGUUGCAACCUCGAUGUUGAAUUAGGAGAUCUUUAUGAGGCAGAAUAUGUAAAAGAAAGUUUGUUCAACUUUUAAAGUCCUACAUGAUUUGAGUUCAAAUCGGUUUAAGCCAGAUUGGAUUUUAUCUUUAGUAAAAGAGAGUAUUUAAUUUAGUACGAAAGGGCCAGUUAAUAUUUGGUCAC
rnacentral:rRNA from 1 species